rnacentral:misc_RNA from 1 species
UGGUUGUUGAUGAACGCUUGUGCGUAGCUGCUGCAACAAGAUUGAAGAUUCAUCUUAAGACCCACAAGGAUAACAUUUCUAAUUUUGAGAUGGAUUGUAUUAAGACUUUAAUUGUCUGCCUUCGGAUCUGCAUAUCUCCAGAUUUUUUCAUCAUCCAGAGGAAUCUCGAUGGAGCCCUCACGUUCUUGCUUAGCCACGAUUCCUCUUGGCACCAGCCACUUGUGGAGCUUAUUCUGAAACUCCAAAACGAGGGUCUUCAUACUGCUCAUACACAACCAAUUAUUCAUACUUCCAACUCUAUCAUAUGGAAGUUGAAUGAUAAGCUACAUUGACAGGAUCGAUCCUUUUAUGAUGAAGUCUUUUGUUUUCAAAAGAAUAGUGCUGCUUCCGUUAUAGAAAUCUCUAACCAAGCGGCUCUGCAAAUUGAUUCCUUUCUGUCAAUGUCCGCCCAUGAUGCCUCUGCAGAUGCUCUUAGAUCGCUUUUGGACAAGGAGUGGCC